GCCGGGGACCAUCUGGAGAGGUGGCAGAGCGGUUGAAUGUACCUGACUCGAAAUCAGGCAGGCGUUUAUAGCGCCUCGGGGGUUCGAAUCCCCCCCUCUCCGCCAGAUUAAG
rnacentral:ncRNA from 1 species